AGUGAACGCUGGCGGUAGGCCUAACACAUGCAAGUCGAACGGCAGCACAGUAAGAGCUUGCUCUUACGGGUGGCGAGUGGCGGACGGGUGAGGAAUACAUCGGAAUCUACUUUCUCGUGGGGGAUAACGUAGGGAAACUUACGCUAAUACCGCAUACGACCUACGGGUGAAAGCAGGGGAUCUUCGGACCUUGCGCGAUUGAAUGAGCCGAUGUCGGAUUAGCUAGUUGGCGGGGUAAAGGCCCACCAAGGCGACGAUCCGUAGCUGGUCUGAGAGGAUGAUCAGCCACACUGGAACUGAGACACGGUCCAGACUCCUGCGGGAGGCAGCAGUGGGGAAUAUUGGACAAUGGGCGCAAGCCUGAUCCAGCCAUACCGCGUGGGUGAAGAAGGCCUUCGGGUUGUAAAGCCCUUUUGUUGGGAAAGAAAAGCAGCAGGUUAAUACCCCGCUGUUCUGACGGUACCCAAAGAAUAAGCACCGGCUAACUUCGUG
rnacentral:rRNA from 1 species